GUGUGUAGGGGUUGUAGAGAGGGUGUGUUUAGAGAAUGUUGUAUGUGUUUGCUUACAAGGAAUGUAGUGUGUGUGUAGGUGGUGCAGUGUGUGUGUAAAGGACCCAGAGUGUGUGUAGAAGAUUGUGUGUGUGUGUGUGUGUAUGUGUAGAGGAUUAAGAGUGCAUAUAGGGUAAGGGAUCUAGCGUGUAUCUGGAGCGUUAUGUGUGUAGUGGUGCAGUGUGAGCGCUGCUCUAGUGUGUGUGUAUAUAUAGUUAGAAUAUAUUUGGACGUAUUGUAUGUGUGAGGUGCGCAGUGUGUUUGUGUAAGAGGGGUGCUGUGUGUGAGGGUGUUUUUAUCUGCCGUCACAUUCUAGGUUUCUAAUUUUCUUUGUCUGUUAAUGUUAACUCACUGAG